rnacentral:rRNA from 1 species
AUUGAACGCUGGCGGCAGGCCUAACACAUGCAAGUCGAACGAGUGGCGGACGGGUGAGUAAUGUCUGGGAAACGGCCCGAUGGAGGGGGAUAACUACUGGAAACGGUAGCUAAUACCGCAUACCAUCGGAUGUGCCCCGCUGGGAUUAGCAAGUCGGUGGGGUAAUGGCUCACCUGGGCGACGAUCCCUAGUUGGUCGGAGAGGAUGACCAGCCACACUGGAACUGAGACACGGUCCAGACGCCUACGGGAGGCAGCAGUGGGGAAUAUUGCACAAUGGGCGCAAGCCUGAUGCAGCCAUGGCGCGUGUAUGGAGAAGGCCUUCGGGUUGUAAAGUACUUUCAGCGGUGAGGCGUUACCCGCAGAAGAAGCACCGGCUAACUCCGUGCCAGCAGCCGCGGUAAUAC